rnacentral:lncRNA from 1 species
AGUAAGCUCCAAAGGAGUUGGAAGGGUUUUGAUAUCGAUCGGUGCGAAAUCGAAUCGAAACGAAUCGAAAAACAGCAUUCUGGAGCUGUUGUACCGGUACAAGAGUGAUGGCUGUACCGGUACAACCAUCACGGAGCAGUGUUACGGCGCUGUACCGGUACAAGGGGGCCUUGUACCGGUACAAAAUCCGCGAAACCGAGCGAGCAAGCUCUCGGUUUUGGCUGUCUGU